rnacentral:rRNA from 1 species
AUUGAACGCUGGCGGCAUGCCUUACACAUGCAAGUCGAACGGCAGCACGGGUGCUUGCACCUGGUGGCGAGUGGCGAACGGGUGAGUAAUACAUCGGAACAUGUCCUGUAGUGGGGGAUAGCCCGGCGAAAGCCGGAUUAAUACCGCAUACGAUCUACGGCUGAAAGCGGGGGCCCUUCGGGCCUCGCGCUAUAGGGUUGGCCGAGGGCUGAUUAGCUAGUUGGUGGGGUAAAGGCCUACCAAGGGGACGAUCAGUAGCUGGUCUGAGAGGACGACCAGCCACCGGGGGGCGGGGGGAGGCCCCAAAACCCGGAGGGAGGCAGGGAGGGGAAUUUUGGGGAAGGGGGCAAAAGGCGAUACCGGAAAAGCCGGGGGGGGAAGAAAGGCCUUGGGGGUGUAAAGCAUUUUGGCCGGGAAAGAAAACCUUGGCCCUAAAAGGGCCGGGGAAUGCGGGAACCGAAAAAAAAAGCACCGCUAAACACCGG